GGCCAGGGACCGGGCUGCCGACUUCCGUACUUUAGCGGGAGAGGGAAAGGAGUGCCUUGGUAGCGUGCGUGUUGUGCAGGGGAAAGCUAGCAAAUGCAGUCAGGAGGCAUGUCGCUUAUGCUGUUGACAGCCGCGUGCAACGGACGCCGCCCGACCUGGGGGUAACUGAGCCCUGGAAGGUGUGUGAAUUAUGCUUCAAAAAAGCCUCGCUCAAAAUCUCGAUAAAAAACGGUGUCUGAAGGUAAUUAACAACAGAUGUAUUCAAACUAUGGCAAAAAAAAACGGAAAUAAAUUUAAUAACAUCGAAG